AAACUAUUAGGUUGGUGCAAAAGUAAUCACGGUUUUUGCAAUUACUUUAAAUGGCAAAAACUGCAAUUACUUUUGUGCCAACCUA
ensembl:miRNA